UGGGGAAUUUUGGACGAAUUGGGGGCAACCGUGAUCCAGCCAUCCCGCGUGUGCGAUGAAGGCCUUCGGGUUGUAAAGCACUUUUGGCAGGGAAGAAACAGCCUGGGAUAAUACCCCGGGCGACUGACGGUACCUGCAGAAUAAGCACCGGCUAACUACGUGCCAGCAGCCGCGGUAAUACGUGGGGUGCAAGCGUUAAUCGGAAUUACUGGGCGUAAAGCGUGCGCAGGCGGUUCGGAAAGAAAGGUGUGAAAUCCCAGGGCUUAACCUUGGAACUGCACUUUUAACCACCGAGCUAGAGUACGUCAGAGGGGGUAGAAUUCCACGUGUAGCAGUGAAAUGCGUAGAGAUGUGGAGGAAUACCGAUGGCGAAGGCAGCCCCCUGGGAUGAUACUGACGCUCAUGCACGAAAGCGUGGGGAGCAAACAGGAUUAGAUACCCUGGUAGUCCACGCCCUAAACGAUGUCAACUAGCUGUUGGGGUUUAUUAACCUUAGUAGCGCAGCUAACGCGUGAAGUUGACCGCCUGGGG
rnacentral:rRNA from 1 species